GGGUUUGCUUUUAAGAAUGAGGGAUCCUAUGCAAACUUUGAAAUGCCUUUUUACUUUAUAUUUGAAAAAGUGUAUGCCUGUGCAUUCAUAAUGGGGAGAGAUGAUAAAGGUUCUCACCUGCAUUAAAACUAAACACAGUAUAGGCUGCUAUGAACUAGAAUAUUACAGUUUUUAUCCUGAUAUAUGAAAUGAAGAAU
rnacentral:lncRNA from 1 species